UACGGAGGGGGCAAGCGUUAUCCGGAUUCACUGGGUUUAAAGGGUGCGUAGGUGGUUUUGUAAGUCAGUGGUGAAAGCCCGGAGCUCAACUCCGGAACUGCCAUUGAUACUGCUUAACUUGAAUCAACUUGAGGUGGAUGGAAUAUUACAUGUAGCGGUGAAAUGCUUAGAUAUGUAAUAGAACACCGAUUGCGAAGGCAGUUCACUAAGGUUGUAUUGACACUGAGGCACGAAAGCGUGGGGAUCAAACAGG
rnacentral:rRNA from 1 species